GGAACACUUCAAAGACAGCUUAUGGAACACAAACCAGGAGCUCUUAAUACUGUGACCAAAGAUUGAAGUUCUCCACGGGAUGUAAUUGUCAGUCAAUAGUGCUAUAUUUUUCUGGAAAGAUAAAAAA